CGUCAGGAGUGAACGGACUGGCGGCGUGCCUAAUACAUGCAAGUCGAACGACACGAUCAAGCUUGCUUGAGAGUGAGUGGCGAACGGGUGAGUAAUACAUAAGCAACCUGCCCACGAAGACCGGGAUAACUUCUGGAAACGGGAACUAAGACCGGAUAGGUACAAGGAAGGCAUCUUCCCUGUAUUAAGGGUGAGAAACACUGGUGGAUGGGCUUAUGGCGCAUUAGCUAGUUGGUGAGGUAACGGCCCACCAAGGCGAUGAUGCGUAGCCGGCCUGAGAGGGUGAACGGCCACAUUGGGACUGAGACACGGCCCAGACUCCUACGGGAGGCAGCAGUAGGGAAUUUUCGGCAAUGGGGGCAACCCUGACCGAGCAACGCCGCGUGAAGUGAAGACGGCCUUCGGGUUGUAAAGCUCUGUUGUAAGGGAAGAACGGCAUGGAGAGGAUCCAUGAGUGACGGUACCUUACCAGAAAGCCACGGCUAACUACGUGCCAGCAGCGGC
rnacentral:rRNA from 1 species